UUUUUUUCCGGUACCAGGGAUUGAAUCCAGGGGCGCUUCACCACUGAGCCACAUCCCCAGCCCUUUUUAAUAUUUUAUUUAGAGACAGGGUCUCACUGAGUUGCUUAGGGCCUCACUUAUUUGCUGAGGCUGGCUUUGAACUCACUAUCCUCCUGCCUCAGCCUUCUGUGCCACUGGGAUUACAGGCGUGCGCCUCCACACCCAGCUCCCUUCAUUCUUAAUCAUCUGUCUCUUUUACAUGAUCCUGGUUUCCUGGCUUAUUCGUUUUUUUCUUUCUGGUGCUGUUUCUUCUGGGGUUCUAUAGUACCCUUUCAUUGAGUAUUGAAUACUCUGUCUAGAUAUCUCUAUUUUUCAUCCUCAAAAAAAGGACUGUUCCUUAUUGACCUUUGUAACCCUGAUUUGCUUUUCUUUAUUCAUAUUUUCUCCAUUUUAGCAAUUAUGUUCUUAAAAGUUGCCUAAAAUGUUUUGUAGAAUGAAGUGGAAUAAAAACUCAGAAGAAAAUUAGUUAUCCCAACCCAUAUGUAUUACAGCCUCAGAAUAUAUUGUAAGCAACACUAAAUGGGUAAAAUAUAACCCUAUAGUAUAAGAAAUCUGGCAGAAGCACCUGAAUCAAUGGAUCAGAGUGCAGGAACAGAUCAAGUCACCUGACAAGACACAGGAAACACGCAUUACUUCAAAAUAAUCCUCAUAAAGAUGCAUAAUUUGAGUCCAAUCAGGAGAAAACAUCUCAGAAGUGCACACUGCAGGCAUUCUGCAAAGUAAUUGGCCUAUGACCUUCAAAAGUCAUAGGCCAAAAGAGAAUCCAGAAGAAUUCUUCCACAUCACAAGGGGCCCGAACAGCCUCAGCAACUCACUGGAAUGGCUAAUUUUAAUUCUAAACUGGAUUCUUUUGCUAUAUGGCUUCUCAUUAGGACAGCUGGAGAAACUCGAAUGGGGCCUAAAAAUGAGAUGGUAGCAAGGUGUCAAUGUUAAUUUCCUGAAUUUGAUGGUUGGUUAUGCAGAAUAUCCUGGUGUGUAGGAAAUCUACAUGAAUGUAUUUGGGAAUGAGGGGACAUGAGAUUGGCCACUUACUCUCAAGGAAAAAAUUUCUUUGUAACUUUUGUGUAUGGUCAAGAUGGUUUAAAAUAAAAAAUUU
rnacentral:lncRNA from 1 species